rfam:Tupaia chinensis contig218288, whole genome shotgun sequence.
AUACUUACCUGGCAGGGGAGAUACUAUGAUCAUGAAGGUGGUUUUCCCAGGAUGAGGCUUAUCCAUUGCACUCCGGAUGUGCUGACCCCUGUGAUUUCCCCAAAUGUGGGAAACUCGACUGCAUAGCUGCAUAGUUUUUGGUAGUGGAGGACUGUGUUUGCGCUUUCCCCUG